CGAUGAUGCCCAGCUUGCUGGGUGGAUUAGUGGCGAACGGGUGAGUAACACGUGAGUAACCUGCCCCUGACUCUGGGAUAAGCGUUGGAAACGACGUCUAAUACUGGAUAUGACUGCCGGCCGCAUGGUCUGGUGGUGGAAAGAUUUUUUGGUUGGGGAUGGACUCGCGGCCUAUCAGCUUGUUGGUGAGGUAAUGGCUCACCAAGGCGACGACGGGUAGCCGGCCUGAGAGGGUGACCGGCCACACUGGGACUGAGACACGGCCCAGACUCCUACGGGAGGCAGCAGUGGGGAAUAUUGCACAAUGGGCGAAAGCCUGAUGCAGCAACGCCGCGUGAGGGAUGACGGCCUUCGGGUUGUAAACCUCUUUUAGUAGGGAAGAAGCGAAAGUGACGGUACCUGCAGAAAAAGCACCGGCUAACUACGUGCCAGCAGCCGCGGUAAUACGUAGGGUGCAAGCGUUGUCCGGAAUUAUUGGGCGUAAAGAGCUCGUAGGCGGUUUGUCGCGUCUGCUGUGAAAUCCCGAGGCUCAACCUCGGGCUUGCAGUGGGUACGGGCAGACUAGAGUGCGGUAGGGGAGAUUGGAAUUCCUGGUGUAGCGGUGGAAUGCGCAGAUAUCAGGAGGAACACCGAUGGCGAAGGCAGAUCUCUGGGCCGUAACUGACGCUGAGGAGCGAAAGCAUGGGGAGCGAACAGGAUUAGAUACCCUGGUAGUCCAUGCCGUAAACGUUGGGCGCUAGAUGUAGGGACCUUUCCACGGUUUCUGUGUCGUAGCUAACGCAUUAAGCGCCCCGCCUGGGGAGUACGGCCGCAAGGCUAAAACUCAAAGGAAUUGACGGGGGCCCGCACAAGCGGCGGAGCAUGCGGAUUAAUUCGAUGCAACGCGAAGAACCUUACCAAGGCUUGACAUACACCGGAAACGGCCAGAGAUGGUCGCCCCCUUGUGGUCGGUGUACAGGUGGUGCAUGGUUGUCGUCAGCUCGUGUCGUGAGAUGUUGGGUUAAGUCCCGCAACGAGCGCAACCCUCGUUCUAUGUUGCCAGCGCGUUAUGGCGGGGACUCAUAGGAGACUGCCGGGGUCAACUCGGAGGAAGGUGGGGAUGACGUCAAAUCAUCAUGCCCCUUAUGUCUUGGGCUUCACGCAUGCUACAAUGGCCGGUACAAAGGGCUGCGAUACCGUAAGGUGGAGCGAAUCCCAAAAAGCCGGUCUCAGUUCGGAUUGAGGUCUGCAACUCGACCUCAUGAAGUCGGAGUCGCUAGUAAUCGCAGAUCAGCAACGCUGCGGUGAAUACGUUCCCGGGCCUUGUACACACCGCCCGUCAAGUCAUGAAAGUCGGUAACACCCGAAGCCG
rnacentral:rRNA from 2 species